CUGAGGCUCCCAGCUGGGAAACCGUCCCAGAGACGACAUCAGUUGAGAAGUGAUCCCAGACAGGGUCCCUGAGAGGCCACCAGAACACAGGGCCCCGUACUCUCCGAGCAUUGCCGGGGUCAGCGGUGAGCACUGUCCAGUUGACAAAGAGGUUAUACCCCAAGUUCCACUGUGCAUUAGUGGCUCGGAACUUAGAAUUCCAUUUCAUGGAAAUAGUGUUAGAAAGCGAGCCUAUCAGAGCCCACUUAACUCAUAAUCUAGCUGAGGCUUUAAAGAAAUCUUUCUCAAAAAGUAUUCCGAAUCUCCCCGAAGCCUGGCCACUCCCGGCUGGUCUCUGCCUCUGGACUUGCUCUCGCCGAAUCAACCUUCAGGCUGCAGUCAGAGAGACCCUGCGACAGCUCUCUGUGACCGCCCACCGCACAGCCCUGGCGGGCCCCCCGGGAUCCCCGCUUUAGCCCGGCUGCUCCACCUCCCUGCCUGGUUGGUGGUUUCACCGGCUGCCCACCAGCCAGAGCACGAGGGGCCUCCCAGGGCGUGGGCCCCCUGUCCCCCACCCCUGCACCAGCAGACUCUGCUUCCCUGUGUCUGAUCGCACCUGCCCAUCCUUCGGGCUUGGCUGAGAAGAACGUUCCUCAAGUAGAUUUUCUCAGCCCGAGGACUCUCCUCCAGCAAUAUUAGUCCAAGACUCAGGCAGCCCAUUGUCUCACUUGGAACUGUCAGGAAUCAAGUGGUGACGGAGGCUCUCCUUGUCCGGGCACGGUUUUUCCACCACGGAACCGAGACCCAGAGAAGUGAAUCCUUUUCCAACCUCCAGGCCGCUGUGGCCGUGGAUUACUGAACUUGGCAAAAGCCAGCUUCCUCUAGAGGUGGAGAGACUACGGUAAUGACCCCCACGCACCCUUCGUCCGAUCUGAGCUGCUGGCAAUUCGUAGACCUCGUUCUGCCCAUUGAAACCCUCACCUCCCACC